AAGAAGUCAGGCACGUGAAUGGAUCGCGCUGUGAUGGCGCCGCCGCUGCUCGUCCUCCUGCUGCUCCUCCUCUCGCGGUGUUCGGCGGCGGCGCCACGGCACGGCGCCGAGGGCUGGUGGGAGGAGGGCGAGGGGGAAUGGAGGCCGGCCGAGGAGGAAGAGCAGGGCAAGCAGGGCAAGGGGAGGGGGCUGUUCGUGCUGGACCGGCUGGAGAAGGUGGUCGAGUCGGAGGGCGGGCAGGUGCGCGUGGUGCGCGGCCAGCCGUGGCCGCCGGCCGCCGCCUUCGCGUGCCGCGACGGGCUCAUGCACAUCGGCUUCAUCACCAUGGAGCCCAAGACGCUGUUCGUGCCGCAGUACCUCGACUCCAGCAUCACUCUCUUCGUGCAGCGGGGUACGUCGUGUGCACGCUGAUCUAUUUUCUAUGCGUGCGCGUGCGACACACUAGAACACGACGUACCGACCGAUGAGAUGGAAAUCGUGAUACUGUUGUGAUGAGCAGGGGAAGUGAAGGUUGGGUAUAUUCACAAGGAUGAGCUCGUGGAGAGGAAGCUCAAGAUGGGCGACGUGCUCCACAUCGACGCCGGAUCCACCUUCUACUUGGUCAACACCGGCAAAGGGCAGAGGCUACAGAUCAUAUGCAGCAUCGACGCCUCCGAUAGCCUUGGCUUCUUUGGACCUC
rnacentral:lncRNA from 1 species